GUUAAAAUUUUACGUGUCUUUAUAAAUAAAGUAGAUUUUGGUCCUUCCCCAAACGUCCAUGUCAUCACGUAGGGAAUGACGUUUUGUGCCACGAGGCACUUCAGUAAACCAGUUCGCGUGUGUAGUGAUUCCGGUUUGUCUAUGCAUCUAUUCUGAACUGGACUAUUCGAAAACAUUAUGAGAAGCCUACUAUGCUUAUAUGUUUCUUCUUCCUCUUCACGAUUGCGACGGCCGACGAAAUUUUCAGAACUAAAGCGCCUUUCCAUCUCUCCAGUAACGUCUCAACCUUUCUUUAAUCCGUUCUUAACUCCUCCGAGUUUUAACGUGAUUAGCCCACUCCUCCCACUGAGAAGCAUUCAAUCGACCCCUUCGUAUCCCCGUAACUGGCUGAAUCUUCGGAUAUAAAUCUUUACUCUCAAGGAUGGACAUCACAAGUCAAACGAUAUCCUGAUGAAAAGCCACGCUUAUGCAAGGAUCUGUUUCUGUGCUUCGACAACUCAGGUUACGAGAACGUCUCACCUAAGGCUCUGUCUACAGGCUAAGCGGAUUCGAUGUGACACGCAGCAACCCCAAAUUUGGUUAUCGGAUGUGCCCCUCUCCAUACGGUUCAAUGAAAGAACUUCUUUUGAAAAGCUACCAACGACCGUUAGGACCAUACCUACGGAAAUGUUCCGAUUCCGACCAUACGACCAGUUAGUUGAGCUAGCUAACACCGGCAAACAACUCCCUGACAAAAUGGGGGAGCUUAGUGCAAUUAGGAGCACAAUAACCGACCGUAUACCAAAGGCACAACGUGUAAUGCUAACUUUGUGUCUUGAAAGGGAUGCAAACUUUUGUGUAAGAUUGUUUGACUCUUUGGCUCUUGCAUUCCAUAGCAAAUUCGAUAGCUAUGGGAGAGAGCCAAGAAUUAUUCUUGUCACCAGUGUCAAUCCUAAAAUAGUUGCGGCAGGAAGGUGCACAUGUUCCUCAACCAGCGGUUCCUGAAGCUGUGGCACUGGGAUCAGAUGCCAGCAAUGCAAUAACUUGCAAUGUUGCAGACCAAGCCACUACAGCUGAUGAUUCACUUCCCGGACGUUUACCAAGAGAGAAAGAACAAGUUCCUCUGGAAGAGAAUGCCCCGAAGAAAGCACGUGUGGAAUGAGUCCUUGUUGGAACCUGAUUCAGGCUAUCCAUCUCUGAUUUCUCUACCAUCUAGAUUUCCAGAAGGCAUGGUGAAGUCGCCAGUUGACCUGACAGGCAAAGCAGUUACAGCAAGUUCCCGGAGAAGACAAAGUGUUACUGAACUGUCGACAGCAUCAUCAUCAUCAUCAUCAAAGAAGCCGAAAAAUAUGGUUAGUCCUAACCACACUAUAAUUUUCACAUAUUUACAAUAUUAAAACUUCAUCCUGUCCUUUAAUCUUUGUUUCUUCAUGACAUGGACAGAGCAUGCUCUGCGAAUAUUUUUAUUAAUUUAAGAGGAUGAAAGAAUUUGUUGGCGUCAAUCACAAAACAAAUACAUGAAUUUACGUGUUUCUUUUAGAACAUCAACUUUACUUUAUAUUUUAAGUUAAACUAUAUUUACUUUGGUGUAACUAUCAGCUAUUUAUUUUGUUUUUACUGCAUUAAUCUAUAUGAAAACCAUUUACUCUAGUUCUCUUUCGCCUAAUCAACUACAAAACAAAGUAAUACACUAUUAUCACUAACCACUAUUAAAUGGACCAAAAAAACCGUUUCAACUCAUUAGAUAACAAAAUAUACGAACCUACCACUAGUUUUCUUAAUAAGUGUGAAAACUCUAGAAUAUAUAUUAUUUUGAAAUGGAAGGAGUAUAUAUAUAAUUUGAUUUGUAUAAAUAUUUGAAACAUACAUUUACAAUAAAUACUUAGUCAGAACACAAAUUAUGAGUUUUUAUUUAUUUAUAAACGAGUACGGAUAAAAAAAUAAAAAAGAGACAUAAAAGAUGCUUUACAUAGACAGUGUUGUUUCUGUUAUCUUAUAUUCAAGUUCAUCUUUUUAUUUCACUAAUCUCUUAACUAGAGCUUCUUCCGUGCACCGCCUGAAUUUUGAUUUUUACUUUUUUUUUAAUUUUUAUGACAUUUCUAAACAUAUAAAUUAUUUAGAUAGUUUUAGAUUUCUACACAUUAGAAUUAAAUCUAUCCAAAUCCGGAGAACUAUAUUCGAAGCACAAAAAAAAUUUAUAAUAUCUGGAUUGAGUCUAAUUUCAAAACCCAAAAAAUUGAUACCCAAAAAACCAACGUGUAUUCAAACGGAGACUCGAAAAUCCAUUCCUAACUGAUUUGUAAAUAAAUAAAUAAAGUAUUUGUUAACCAUUUUGGGUUCUUGUCACAAAUGGCGCAACUUCAUUUAAAUAUGUCGAAUUCUUGUGGUUAACAUUUAAAAUAAAUGUUGUCAAAUUAUUUUGACAAAGACAAUUAAUAUAAUAGUUUAGAAGAGUGAACAAAUAAAUGUAAAAGAUGUGAUAAAACAUUUAAAAUAUUUAAAUUAUGUUGUGUACUUUGUAAUAAAUGUUGUCGAAUUAUUUAGAAAAUGCAAUAAAUAAAGUGAUUAGAAUUAGUUAAAAACUGUUAACCUGUAAAAACCACUUAAAAUAAGCAAUUUUUUAUUACUUCAGUUUUAAUAGAAUAAAGUUGUCUUUUUUUGCGUUCAUUUACAUUACUCCAUUUGUUUCAUUUUAAUUAUUAUUUUAGGUUUA